AUUGAACGCUGGCGGCAGGCCUAACACAUGCAAGUCGAGCGGCAGCGGGAAAGUAGCUUGCUACUUUUGCCGGCGAGCGGCGGACGGGUGAGUAAUGCCUGGGAAAUUGCCCAGUCGAGGGGGAUAACAGUUGGAAACGACUGCUAAUACCGCAUACGCCCUACGGGGGAAAGCGGGGGACCUUCGGGCCUUGCGCGAUUGGAUAUGCCCAGGUGGGAUUAGCUAGUUGGUGAGGUAAUGGCUCACCAAGGAGACGAUCCCUAGCUGGUCUGAGAGGAUGAUCAGCCACACUGGAACUGAGACACGGUCCAGACUCCUACGGGAGGCAGCAGUGGGGAAUAUUGCACAAUGGGGGAAACCCUGAUGCAGCCAUGCCGCGUGUGUGAAGAAGGCCUUCGGGUUGUAAAGCACUUUCAGCGAGGAGGAAAGGUUGAUGCCUAAUACGUAUCAACUGUGACGUUACUCGCAGAAGAAGCACCGGCUAACUCCGUGCCAGCCGCCGCGGUAAGAC
rnacentral:rRNA from 1 species